UCUUUCAGCUUGAACUGUUAACCAAUGGUGGAAAUGCAAGAAUGCUGAAGUUGUGCCUUCAGAGCCAAUAGAGUGGAUUUGUGUGUCCCACAUGACUGUGUUUCCCCUGUCUUUCACAUGGGCAGUAUUUAGUUCAAUUCAGAACUGCAGAUAGUAUAGCGUGCAGAGCAGCAAUGGGAUGUCUGAGCACAAGUGGCUGACUUCCAGGCGACUUCAGGAAGCACAUUUAUACAUUUCUCCUGAAUUAAACUGGGAUUCUGCACCCUUGACAUUCUCCAGCCCUCCUUGUCGAUGCAGAAGGAGACAACGACCUGCACAGCACAACAAAACUACAAAUCACCACAGAGCUGCAGACCAGCAAUGAAGGGAGCUGAGGGCAAUUUGACCAACAUCAUCUGUGUCGGUUCCCCAGAUGUCAAUGAAACACGUAAUCGGGUCUCCAAGACCACAAGCCUCAGAAGAUCACUGUGGAAGAAACGCACUGGGCCAACCCAUCCUGUUGAUAUGA